AAGGUAGCGUAGAACGUAAAGGUGUGAUCGUAGAGCGUAAAACCGUACUAGUAAGCUGACAAGUGGCGGACGGGUGAGUAAUGUCUGGGAAACUGCCUGAUGGAGGGGGAUAACUACUGGAAACGGUAGCUAAUACCGCAUAACGUCGCAAGACCAAAGAGGGGGACCUUCGGGCCUCUUGCCAUCGGAUGUGCCCAGAUGGGAUUAGCUAGUAGGUGGGGUAAAGGCUCACCUAGGCGACGAUCCCUAGCUGGUCUGAGAGGAUGACCAGCCACACUGGAACUGAGACACGGUCCAGACUCCUACGGGAGGCAGCAGUGGGGAAUAUUGCACAAUGGGCGCAAGCCUGAUGCAGCCAUGCCGCGUGUAUGAAGAAGGCCUUCGGGUUGUAAAGUACUUUCAGCGGGGAGGAAGGGAGUAAAGUUAAUACCUUUGCUCAUUGACGUUACCCGCAGAAGAAGCACCGGCUAACUCCGUGCCAGCAGCCGCGGUAAUACGGAGGGUGCAAGCGUUAAUCGGAAUUACUGGGCGUAAAGCGCACGCAGGCGGUUUGUUAAGUCAGAUGUGAAAUCCCCGGGCUCAACCUGGGAACUGCAUCUGAUACUGGCAAGCUUGAGUCUCGUAGAGGGGGGUAGAAUUCCAGGUGUAGCGGUGAAAUGCGUAGAGAUCUGGAGGAAUACCGGUGGCGAAGGCGGCCCCCUGGACGAAGACUGACGCUCAGGUGCGAAAGCGUGGGGGAGCAAACCGGGAUUAGAUACCCUGGUAGUCCACGCCGUAAACGAUGUCGACUUGGAAGGUUGUGCCCCUUGAAGGCGUGGCUUCCGGAGCUAACGCCUUUAAGUCCAACCGCCCUGGGGAAAUACCGGCCGCCAAGGGUUAAAACUCCAAAUAAAUUGACCGGGGGGCCCGCCCCAAACCGGUGGAAACAUGUGGGUUUAAUUUUCAAUUCCAACGCCGAAAAAAACCUUUACCUGGGUCUUGUACAUUCCCCAGAAGACUUUUUAAGAAAAAUAAAAUAGGGUGCCCUUUCGGGGAAA
rnacentral:rRNA from 1 species